rnacentral:rRNA from 1 species
UGGGGAAUUUUGGACAAUGGGGGGAAACCCUGAUCCAGCCAUCCCGCGUGUGCGAUGAAGGCCUUCGGGUUGUAAAGCACUUUUGGCAGGAAAGAAACGUCGCGGGUUAAUACCCCGCGAAACUGACGGUACCUGCAGAAUAAGCACCGGCUAACUACGUGCCAGCAGCCGCGGUAAUACGUAGGGUGCAAGCGUUAAUCGGGGAUUACUGGGCGUAAAGCGUGCGCAGGCGGUUCGGAAAGAAAGAUGUGAAAUCCCAGAGCUUAACUUUGGAACUGCAUUUUUAACUACCGGGCUAGAGUGUGUCAGAGGGAGGUGGAAUUCCGCGUGUAGCAGUGAAAUGCGUAGAUAUGCGGAGGAACACCGAUGGCGAAGGCAGCCUCCUGGGAUAACACUGACGCUCAUGCACGAAAGCGUGGGGGAGCAAACAGGAUUAGAUACCCUGGUAGUCCACGCCCUAAACGAUGUCAACUAGCUGUUGGGGGCCUUCGGGCCUUGGUAGCGCAGCUAACGCGUGAAGUUGACCGCCUGGGGGAGUACGGUCGGCAAGAUUAAAACUCAAAUGAAUUGACGGGGGUCAUAGCUG